rnacentral:tRNA from 1 species
GCCCGGGUGGUGGAAUUGGCAGACACGUACGUUUGAGGGGCGUAUGGGGCAACCCAUGCGGGUUCGACUCCCGCCCCGGGCACCA